rnacentral:ncRNA from 1 species
AAUUGAGAACUUUGAAGAUUGAAGUGGGGAAAGGUUCCAUGUGAACAGCACUUGGACAUGGGUUAGUCGAUCCUAAGAGAUGGGGAAGCCCUGUAUCAAGGGUGCACUAUACACGAGCAUCAAAAGGGAAUCAGGUUAAUAUUCCCGAACCGGGACAUGGCGGCGGAUGACAAUGUUAGGAAAUCCAAAGAUGUUGUCGGGGGCCCUGGGAAGAGUUAUCUUUUCUUUUUAACAACUUGCCCACCCUGAAAUUGGCUCAACCGGAGAUAGGGUCCAGCAGCUGGAAGAUCAUUGCACGUCUUGCAGUGUCUGGUGCACCCUCGACAGCCCUUGAAAAUAUGGAGGACCGAGUACCGUCCAUGCUCGGUCGUACUCAUAACCGCAUCAGGUCUCCAAGGUGAACAACCUCUGGUCAAUAGAACAAUGUAGGUAAGGGAAGUCGACAAA